rnacentral:rRNA from 1 species
UGGCGAACGGGUGAGUAACACGUGGGCAAUCUGCCCUUCACUCUGGGACAAGCCCUGGAAACGGGGUCUAAUACCGGAUAACACUCCUGCCUGCAUGGGCGGGGGUUAAAAGCUCCGGCGGUGAAGGAUGAGCCCGCGGCCUAUCAGCUUGUUGGUGGGGUAAUGGCCUACCAAGGCGACGACGGGUAGCCGGCCUGAGAGGGCGACCGGCCACACUGGGACUGAGACACGGCCCAGACUCCUACGGGAGGCAGCAGUGGGGAAUAUUGCACAAUGGGCGAAAGCCUGAUGCAGCGACGCCGCGUGAGGGAUGACGGCCUUCGGGUUGUAAACCUCUUUCAGCAGGGAAGAAGCGCAAGUGACGGUACCUGCAGAAGAAGCACCGGCUAACUACGUGCCAGCAGCCGCGGUAAUACGUAGGGUGCGAGCGUUGUCCGGAAUUAUUGGGCGUAAAGAGCUCGUAGGCGGCUUGUCACGUCGGAUGUGAAAGCCCGGGGCUUAACCCCGGGUCUGCAUUCGAUACGGGCAGGCUAGAGUGUGGUAGGGGAGAUCGGAAUUCCUGGUGUAGCGGUGAAAUGCGCAGAUAUCAGGAGGAACACCGGUGGCGAAGGCGGAUCUCUGGGCCAUUACUGACGCUGAGGAGCGAAAGCGUGGGGAGCGAACAGGAUUAGAUACCCUGGUAGUCCACGCCGUAAACGUUGGGAACUAGGUGUUGGCGACAUUCCACGUCGUCGGUGCCGCAGCUAACGC